rnacentral:rRNA from 1 species
GUGCCAGCAGCCGCGGUAAUACGUAGGAGGCAAGCGUUGUCCGGAAUCACUGGGCGUAAAGCGCGUGUAGGUGGUACGACAAGUCUGCUGUGAAAGCGCCUGGCUUAACCGGGCGAGGUCGGCGGAAACUGUCGCACUCGAGGACGGUAGAGGGGGGUGGAAUUCCCGGUGUAGUGGUGAAAUGCGUAGAGAUCGGGAGGAACACCUGUGGCGAAGGCGGCCCCCUGGGCCGCUCCUGACACUGAGACGCGAAGGCGUGGGGAGCGAACGGGAUUAGAUACCCUAGUAGUCC